UCAGGAGUUAGCGGUUCUCAGCACGGACAAACUGGAGGAUUUAUUCGGUGAAGUGUUUUUAUCUUUAAUAUCAUUACUGUACACCAGAAAAUGCAAAAAUACCAUUCCAUAAUCAGAACUGGACAGCUCAUGUGACAUCAGCUCUUAUUAGAUGUCACGGUAGUUUCGUGAGCUUUAGCUUUGCUUGUCUGUAAUGCCCACUGGACGCUCAAGUAGACGCGAGCGGUGCGUCACUGAUACGAAGGCCGUUUCACAACACUCUUGUCACGUGCUUCAGGGCUUCAACACGCCGCUCUAAGCAAGCGUCACGUGGAGCUUUGCCAACACAUGAAAAGCGUUGGUGUGCAUGGUUGGAACAAAUAUAGUGGAGUACCUUCAGCUGGCUGAGAUGUCAAGGCCUUAUUCCCCUAAAUCCUACACUUGGCCUGCACAUAGAACAUUUGAAUUUUUAAUGUAAUUAUUUUAUGGAUUUUAUUAAUUCCUUACAUAAAUAGUGUUCUAGUACGUGGACGUUUAAAGGGAUAGUUCACUCAAAAAUCAUUUACUCCCUCUCAUGCCAUCCCAGAUGUGGAUGACUUUCUUUCUUCUGCAGAACACAAAUUAAGAUUUUUAGAAGAAUUUCUCAGCUCUGUAAGUCCAUACAAUGCAAGUGAAUGGUGAUAAAAAUUUGAAGCUCCAAACAGCACAUAAAUGCAGUAUAAAAGUAAUCCAUAUGACUCCAGUGGUUAAAUGACUGUGACUAAAGUGGGAAACACAUCAGUAUUUAAGUCCUUUUUUCACUAUAAAUCUUCACUUUCCCAUCUAAAAGUCAAAUGUGGCACCAGUUUAGUUUUUCUUUCAGAUGUGAAGUUGGAGAUUUAGAGUAAGGACUUAAAUAUUGAUCUGUUUCUCACCCACAUCUUUCAUAUCACUUUUGAAGACAUGAAUUUAAUAACUGGAGUCAAAUGGAUUACUUUCAUGCUGCCCUUAUGUACUUUUUAGAGCUUCAAAGUUCUGGCCACUAUUCACUUGUGUAUAAUGGACCAACAGAGCUGAGAUAUUCUGAACAAAAGCAAAUAAUUUUAGAAGCAGAAGAAAGGCAUACACAUCUGGGAUGAAUGUGAGUAAAUGAGAGGUUUUUCAUUUUUGGGUGAACUAUCCUUUUAAUAAUACAAUGGGUGUUUAAUGUUUUUAAUGCUUAGUGUAAUUAACAUUAAUUAUAAAUGUUACUUUAUUGUGCUACAUGCUGUUUAUUAAAACAUUUGUCAAAUAGUUUAACUGCACUUAUUGAAUGUAUUUAUAUUCAUCCAAUAAUAAA